ACUAGAAUGGCCAAGUGGUUAAGACAUUUGACAUAAGAUCCAAUAGAUUUAUAUCCUUGUGGGUUCGAACCCCACUUCCAGUA
rnacentral:tRNA from 1 species